AUGGUCGUGACAAUGGAACGACAAGGGACUCAUUCUUACAUGCCCCAAUUUGAGGUUUUUGCAUCUGUUGCCACUGAAGAGAAGGCUUGAUAAUGGCAUCCAUUUGUAUUACAUUUUAGGCAUGACAAGCUUUUCUGUUUUAUUUGUUUGCGACAUUAAUUGUGAUUAGUAACAGAUCUCAAUGAUGUUUUAGACUACAGAAUUUAGGUGUUCAUUUGCUCUCUUUAGCUUUUUGCCGUUGAUUUUAUCCGCUUCUCCCUAAUCUAUCUUACAUAUUUAAGGAGAUGCUAAUAAUGGAUUAUUAUUUACUACCUAUAUUUUUUAAGAAAUU